AUUGAACGCUGGCGGCAGGCCUAACACAUGCAAGUCGAACGGUAACAGGAAGCAGCUUGCUGCUUUGCUGACGAGUGGCGGACGGGUGAGUAAUGUCUGGGAAACUGCCCGAUGGAGGGGGAUAACUACUGGAAACGGUAGCUAAUACCGCAUAACGUCGCAAGCCCAAAGAGGGGGACCUUAGGGCCUCUUGCCAUCGGAUGUGCCCAGGUGGGAUUGGCUAGUAGGUGGGGUAACGGCUCACCUAGGCGACGAUCCCUAGCUGGUCUGAGAGGAUGACCGGCCACACGAGAACUGAGACACGGUCCAGACGCCUACGAGAGGCAGCAGUGGGGAAUAUUGCACAAUGGGCGCAAGCCUGAUGCAGCCAUGCCGCGUGUAUGAAGAAGGCCUUCGGGUUGUAAAGUACUUUCAGCGGGGAGGAAGGGAGUAAAGUUGAUACCUUUGCUCAUUGACGUUACCCGCAGAAGAAGCACCGGCUAACUCCGUG
rnacentral:rRNA from 1 species